AGAUUAAACUGAAGAGUUUGAUCCUGGCUCAGAUUGAACGCUAGCGGGAUGCCUUACACAUGCAAGUCGAACGGCAGCACGGACUUCGGUCUGGUGGCGAGUGGCGAACGGGUGAGUAAUGUAUCGGAACGUGCCCAGUAGCGGGGGAUAACUACGCGAAAGCGUAGCUAAUACCGCAUACGCCCUACGGGGGAAAGCAGGGGAUCGCAAGACCUUGCACUAUUGGAGCGGCCGAUAUCGGAUUAGCUAGUUGGUGGGGUAACGGCUCACCAAGGCGACGAUCCGUAGCUGGUUUGAGAGGACGACCAGCCACACUGGGACUGAGACACGGCCCAGACUCCUACGGGAGGCAGCAGUGGGGAA
rnacentral:rRNA from 1 species